UACAGAGGGUGCAAGCGUUGUUCGGAAUUAUUGGGCGUAAAGAGCUCGUAGGCGGUUUGUCGCGUCUGCUGUGAAAACUCGGGGCUUAACCCCGGGCCUGCAGUGGGUACGGGCAGACUAGAGUGCGGUAGGGGAGACUGGAAUUCCUGGUGUAGCGGUGAAAUGCGCAGAUAUCAGGAAGAACACCCGUGGCGAAGGCGGCUCUCUGGGACGGUACUGACGCUGAGACGCGAAAGCGUGGGGAGCGAACAGG
rnacentral:rRNA from 1 species